rnacentral:rRNA from 1 species
GUUGUAUGGUUAAGUGACUAAGCGUACAUGGUGGAUGCCUUGGCAGUCAGAGGCGAUGAAGGACGUACUAACCUGCGAUAAGCUGUGAGAAGUCGGUAAGAGACGCUAUUACUCACAGAUUUCCGAAUGGGGAAACCCACCCGAGAUAACUCGGGUAUCUGUUACUGAAUACAUAGGUAACAGAGGCGAACCGGGAGAACUGAAACAUCUAAGUACCCCGAGGAAAAGAAAUCAACCGAGAUUCCCUCAGUAGCGGCGAGCGAACGGGGAUUAGCCCUUAAGCAUCUUGGAAGUUAGUGGAACGGUCCUGGAAAGGCCGGCGAUACAGGGUGAUAGCCCCGUACACGAAAACAACCUUGAUGUGAAAUCGAGUAGGGCGGGACACGUGACAUCCUGUCUGAAUAUGGGGGGACCAUCCUCCAAGGCUAAAUACUCCUGACUGACCGAUAGUGAACCAGUACCGUGAGGGAAAGGCGAAAAGAACCCCUGUGAGGGGAGUGAAAUAGAACCUGAAACCGUGUACGUACAAGCAGUGGGAGCCCUUCGGGGUGACUGCGUACCUUUUGUAUAAUGGGUCAGCGACUUACAUUUUGUAGCGAGGUUAACCGUAUAGGGGAGCCGUAGGGAAACCGAGUCUUAACUGGGCGUCUAGUUGCAAGGUGUAGACCCGAAACCGGGUGAUCUAGCCAUGGGCAGGUUGAAGGUUGAGUAACAUCAACUGGAGGACCGAACCCACUAACGUUGCAAAGUUAGGGGAUGACCUGUGGCUGGGGGUGAAAGGCCAAUCAAACUCGGAGAUAGCUGGUUCUCCCCGAAAGCUAUUUAGGUAGCGCCUCGGACGAAUACUACUGGGGGUAGAGCACUGUUUGGGCUAGGGGGUCAUCCCGACUUACCAACCCCAUGCAAACUCCGAAUACCAGUAAGUAAUAUCCGGGAGACACACGGCGGGUGCUAACGUCCGUCGUGAAGAGGGAAACAACCCAGACCGCCGGCUAAGGUCCCAAAGUUCUGGUUAAGUGGGAAACGAUGUGGGAAGGCUCAGACAGCUAGGAUGUUGGCUUAGAAGCAGCCAUCAUUUAAAGAAAGCGUAAUAGCUCACUAGUCGAGUCGGCCUGCGCGGAAGAUGUAACGGGGCUCAAACCAGGCACCGAAGCCGCGGAUUCACACUUAUGUGUGAGUGGUAGGGGAGCGUUCUGUAAGUCUGCGAAGGUGUAUCGAGAGGUAUGCUGGAGAUAUCAGAAGUGCGAAUGCUGACGUAAGUAACGAUAAAGGGGGUGAAAAGCCUCCUCGCCGGAAGACCAAGGGUUCCUGUCCAACGUUAAUCGGGGCAGGGUGAGUCGACCCCUAAGGCGAGGCCGAAAGGCGUAGUCGAUGGGAAGCAGGUUAAUAUUCCUGCACGACUUGUAAUUGCGAUGGGGGGACGGAGAAGGCUAGGUGGGCCAGGCGACGGUUGUCCUGGUGAAAGUGCGUAGGUGGUGUUUCUAGGCAAAUCCGGAGACACAACACUGAGACACGAGACGAACACACUACGGUGUGGAAGCCAUUGAUGCCCUGCUUCCAGGAAAAGCCUCUAAGCUUCAGAUUACAAGUCAUCGUACCCCAAACCGACACAGGUGGUCGGGUAGAGAAUACCAAGGCGCUUGAGAGAACUCGGGUGAAGGAACUAGGCAAAAUAGAACCGUAACUUCGGGAGAAGGUUCGCUCUUGACAGUGAAGUCCCUUGCGGAUGGAGCAGUUGGGAGUCGCAGUGACCAGAUGGCUGGGACUGUUUAUCAAAAACACAGCACUCUGCAAACACGAAAGUGGACGUAUAGGGUGUGACACCUGCCCGGUGCCGGAAGGUUAAUUGAUGGGGUUAGCGCAAGCGAAGCUCUUGAUCGAAGCCCCGGUAAACGGCGGCCGUAACUAUAACGGUCCUAAGGUAGCGAAAUUCCUUGUCGGGUAAGUUCCGACCUGCACGAAUGGUGUAACCAUGGCCAUGCUGUCUCCACCCGAGACUCAGUGAAAUCGAAUUCGCCGUGAAGAUGCGGUGUACCCGCGGCUAGACGGAAAGACCCCGUGAACCUUUACUACAGCUUGGCACUGAACAUUGAACCUACAUGUGUAGGAUAGGUGGGAGGCUUUGAAGGCGUGACGCCAGUUGCGCUGGAGCCGUCCUUGAAAUACCACCCUUGUAUGUUUGAUGUUCUAACGCAGGGCCCUGAAUCGGGCUCGCGGACAGUGCCUGGUGGGUAGUUUGACUGGGGCGGUCUCCUCCCAAAGAGUAACGGAGGAGCACGAAGGUUGGCUAAUCCUGGUCGGACAUCAGGAGGUUAGUGCAAUGGCAUAAGCCAGCUUAACUGCGAGACGGACAGGUCGAGCAGGUACGAAAGUAGGUCAUAGUGAUCCGGUGGUUCUGAAUGGAAGGGCCAUCGCUCAACGGAUAAAAGGUACUCCGGGGAUAACAGGCUGAUACCGCCCAAGAGUUCAUAUCGACGGCGGUGUUUGGCACCUCGAUGUCGGCUCAUCACAUCCUGGGGCUGAAGUCGGUCCCAAGGGUAUGGCUGUUCGCCAUUUAAAGUGGUACGCGAGCUGGGUUCAGAACGUCGUGAGACAGUUCGGUCCCUAUCUGCCGUGGGCGUUGGAUGAUUGAAGGGAGUUGCUCCUAGUACGAGAGGACCGGAGUGAACGAACCUCUGGUGUUCGGGUUGUCACGCCAGUGGCACUGCCCGGUAGCUAAGUUCGGAAUCGAUAACCGCUGAAAGCAUCUAAGCGGGAAGCGAGCCCUGAGAUGAGUCAUCCCUGACCCCUUGAGGGUCCUAAAGGGCCGUUGGAGACCACAACGUUGAUAGGCGGGGUGUGUAAGUGCAGCGAUGCAUUGAGCUAACCCGUACUAAUUACCCGUGAGGCUUAACCAUACAACACCCAAGAAGUGUU